AAUGCGAAUACAACAGAUGAUCCAAAUUAACAAAUAUUACUACAAACCAUAAUCAACGAGAUUUGUUUGUUGCUGAAAGAAAGGUUCACUGAUGUGCAUGUCAUCAGCAAUUCGAUGCAACCAGUCGGUCAUGUGUAAGCUUCCCCAGAACACGUACGGAGGGAAGGUACAACCCAACACAAGGUAGUCGGGCAUGAGCUGCUCGUGUGCGGUGAACCUGUUCCGCCAAAAUUUCGCACGACCGACUCACGAUCGUGGACGCCCCUCGAUCGUGGAUGCCUCUCUUCCUUGCAGUUGAUGCUAUCCAUUCAACAACCAUCAAUAUUACCUCGUCUUAUUCGACGUCCAUUACCUCACUCUUGGACUCGGAGCUCGAAUUUGAUGACGAAUCAUAAAAAAACAUUAGCUCCAGCAUCGGAUCCAUCUACACAUAUUGUGAAUCAUAUGUCAUCUACAUGAAUUUAUGAGUCACUAAACUAAAUCUAGAACAAAAGGAAGGAGAAAUGUACCUUGAGGUCACGCGAUGGAAGGGGUGCCAUGGCGGGACGACGAGAGGAAGGCGCGGAGCUGCGGCGAAGCGUGGGAGAUCUUGAACAGUUUUAGUGGUGGUGACUGGGGCCAAAUCAUGGCGGGCGGAGCGGUGAUGGUGGCACCAAACGAAUGGGGCGCGGGGAUGUGGGCUACAA
rnacentral:lncRNA from 1 species